CGGGAGCGCUCGAGGGGGCGGCGGGGGCUCGCACAGGGCCCCAGGGACGCCAGCGCCCGGGGCCCGGGACCCUGGUCCCUAUAGAUCAGGAUGGACAGGGACAAGCUCCUUCUUCAUGGAAAGUACGCACUCGUUUCUCCUCUUCAGCCCUGCGGAGAAGAGAGAAGCCAGCUGCCAUGUUGUGAGGACACUCAGCAACCCUCUAGAAAGGCCCAUGUGGUGAGGGACACAGGCCUCCUUCACCAGCUGGCACCCACCUGCCAACGAUGUGGACUCUGAGAAUUCCUGGCCCCAGUCGAGCCUUUGGAUGAUGGCAGCCCCACCCAAUCUCCAGACUGCAACCUGAUGAGAGACCCUCCACGCAGAACCAUCCAGCCGGGUGCUCCCAGACUCCUGACCUCCCGAAGCUCUGAGACAAUAAAUGCGUUGUUUUAAGCUGCUAGGGUCCAAGUUAUCUUGUUAUGUAGCGAUGGGUAACUAAGACAAGUCAGGGAGGCGAGGAGGCGGAUGAGAGGGGAAGUCUGUGCCAAAGCACCAUGACGUGCACGAUGGGGGUUCAUUCACAUACGAUUUUAUACAAGUGCAUAUAAAGAAACUAGAAAAACAUGUAGUCACAGACUUGUAGGAAUGUCUGUGUUGCAGUGUCAAUUGCCAAGUGACAAAUAUAAAUUACAGAAUAAUGUGUGUAGAAUGAUUCUAUUUUGGUAUAAAGCAAGCAAUAAAUCAGCCCUCGUGUGUUUGUAGAAGCAAGGGGAAGGGUGUGGUAGGUUUCUUCAG